AUGAAAAAUGCUUAAAUUACUAAUGUACGAAGAGUACUACUGGAAAAUUGGGUACGGUGACUGCGAUAUCUCUGCCUAGGGUUCAACCAACGGAAUGCUGGGGUAAUUUUCUCAUCUCUUUUCUCCAUUCUUUGUCAUUUUGGACUCAAAUUAAUGUACUUCACUUUUUAUCGUUGGCUAAUAAUACUUACCUUUUAAAAUACUCCAUAGAGAGAGAUAGUGGGAACUCAAAAGAGCAAGGGCAUAAUUUCUAAAAGCAAAAACAAAGCAAAUCAUGUUGCAGUGGUAAGAGACUCUGCAGUUACUUUCAUGCCGACACCUUUUCUUAUGCUUUCCUUUUAUCUUUUUUUUGAUGGUUUAAUUCUUCUCCCACAAAUUUUAGUAAUUUAGUUGCACAUACAGCAAUACUUUGGAAAAUAAGACCUGGGAUUUGUUUCCAUGAUCAAAAAGGCCCUUUAUAUAAUGAUUUUAUAAAUUGAUAAUUUGACAAGUAAAAGUCCAAAUUGUCCUGAAUGUGAGAAGUAAGUCUUAAGUGUGAAGACUAGAAAGCUUGUAGCUCAUCUAGCCACAUUUUUCUACUCUAUUUUGCUACAUCUCCCUUUUUGUUAAUUUUACUUAGGUAAGUCCUAAAACCCUUGAUUUAAAUUCUAAAGCAGAAAAAGGGAGUGUAAAUAUGCACGCGACUGACGCGUUGAGUCUUCCAUAAUUUCUAGUUUUUAUUCAAUAAUUUGAAUGGCAGAUCUAAUUUUUUAAUUGGUUACGGAUACAGUCAAGGAGACGAGGCUUAAGGCAGUAUUACAAAUGAUGUAGUUGAAAAUGAUUCCUAGCUUCAUGUGAUCAUACAUAUGAUGGAGGGAGAGUACGUAUAACAUAUUUGUUGCCCAAUUAUUUGCUUUGCUAACUUUGAUGGGAUCUGAAUUUUCUCAAGAAUAUCUCAUGACAGCUAAUAAUAAAGUUAUACCAUCAAUUCUUAAGAUGAUGAUUUUGAUGCUAGUCCAAUAAUUAUGCUUAAGGUGAUGCACCUUAUUUGAUUCCAGUUUGUUAGUUAACUACCUUAAUCCAUGGUAUUGGUGUGCUAUAAUUUAUUUUCUUGGUAACUUGUGGGUUUGAGAUUUUAGUUAACUGCUAGAUUUUGUCUGGUCUCCAGGUCCUGGUUUUAUGAAUUUAUAAAGCUUUUUGCUGGGAUCAACCAUUGGUUCUUUAACGAAGAUGUGCAUUUGAGAUUUCAAUUGUCCUGUCGGAGAUUUUUGUGCAUCGAAAUGUGACCAGCUGUAGCUGUUGAAAAGAGUAUGCUGCAUAUGUGCUAAUGUCUGUGGUUUGUUAACAUUCUUGAAAACAUAGAGAUGCUGAGGUCCACCAGACUUUCCUCACUAAGUGUCUUAUAGAAACAUAUGUUGAUCGCAAGUAUUAUACUUGCUUUUUCUGGCUUCAUGAAUUAAACCUCAAAAAGAAGAAGAAGAAUACACAUCAAUUACCUCUUUUUCCAGGUCUAUCUUCAAAAGGUAUCAGUCUCUAUUUAACUUUUAAGAGCUUGUGGCCAGAAGAAUUCAUCAGUAGCCGUUUGGAUGUGGUCUUAACCAUAAUUUAGGGGGAAAAUGUGUGUUGAUGAAAAGUGAUUCAUAUGUGUGGUGCGCUAAUGAUGAUUUGAUUGUUGUAAAGGUUGUGAAAAGUUGUCUGUGAACAAAAAGAUAAAAGACUUCACAUCAGAUAUACACUUUAUCAGUUUGCACACUAUAACCAGAUCCUGAAUGCAUGAUGGCAUUGUUGAUUGCAUGCCGUAUGUUUUUUUUUUCCCACUGGAUGUGAUGGGGUUUAGGUAUAUCCCUAGCUCCAAAAUAUCAAAAGGCAGUAUGUGAUAAUGAUGAAGGGGAUGUAAUACACAAUAUCAUUUUGAAGUUAUUGAAUUAGACAGAUUCUAAAUUGCUUGGAAACCGAACUGCAUAAACCAUAUGUGUGAGUUUCAUUUCUGCUUCCCUACACUUACUUCGGAGGUCCGCUGUUGGACUUAUUCAUCUAACUUUUCUUUUGUUAUUUACACUGGUUUCAAAAAUUUCUGCCAUUUGUCAACAUAUUUUACUUUUUUUUUUUUUUAAAAACUUUCGAAGGUUAUAAUUCUUUACAUGGUUGCAAAGUAUCCUAAGUUCUUUUCAUUUGGUCGUCUAACAGAACAUCCUUUUUGAAGUGUAACAGAUAAAAUAUCCUGAGUAGUAAAUCCUUGUGCUUUAGGUCGUCAUUGGUAUUGUCCGGAAUGUUGAUUUUUCUAUAGAGUACUCAUUUCAGUUAGACUAAGAUAAGCUGACAAUCUGUGAAGUGCCUUUUCACUUUACUAUAGAAAUCCUUACUAUUAAAAAUAAUUCAAUACCAGCUCACACAGUAAUCCUACUAAAAAGAAAAAAAUUCUAUACUCUUAUAAUGCAUUAAGAAUAUGCAAUCAUUCUUUAUAUGGUGUAAUAGGGGUCAGCAAAACUAUGCCAGCCACACAAAAGAAAACACCAAAAUAUAUAUAUAAAUAUAGGUAAUAGUCUUACUAUACUAGCAUUGAUCAUGAUCUCCCUGAAUUCUGUUGCUCGAUGGUUUGCCGACUUGUAAACAAUCAAUUGGCGGUAGAGUAGGAGUAUACAACUCCCCGAACGUCUGCCAACAAUAUGGAUCAUACAUGUGGUAACGCUCUUGUAUUGGCUUUAGUUGGAUAUCCGUCAAGGUCACGUCUUGACAUGGCAUACUGUCACUGCAUGCUAAAUGCACUGGUUUUACUGUAUAUGUUCCUCUAAUUCUUUCAAAGUUGAUUCCUGAUAAAGCCACUGCAGACGUCUGGUUCUUACAUUUGCUCUUGUCGCAAUAGAACUGAUCAAUUACAAUUGGUAGUUGGACUUCUGAAACUUGAAUGUUUGAGAAAAACACUCCUUGUACUGACCCUGACCCUCCCUGCAGUAGUAGAAUCGAACAUUAAUGUUGGUUGUAGAAAACACUUGAACUCAAAUUCCUGAAAUCUGGUUAGUAAAAAAUGUUUACUGGAUGUUGAGACAACUAAACAUUUGCCUGGCCAUACCUGCCACGUCUUAAUCCUGACACCAUUCAUUGUGUUUUGCAUAACAACAUCUUUGACCGUAAUGUUUGAAACACAAGCCUUUGUGUUGUCUUUCCCCAGACUUCCAAUGCUGAUUCCAUGUCCUGGUCCACAAUUUAUGUUGUGUACAUACACAUUGGUGCAUCCAGUUUGUAUGGAGACACAGUCAUCUCCUGUACAAAUUAAAAAUAGUUUGUCGGUAAGUAUAUUUAGCGUGUACUAACAUUUAAAUUAAAGAACUAUUAUGUGCUUGGCUUGUUUGAUGUUCAUAUUGUCUAUGCUAUCAUAAAGUUCUCAUCUAGGUUUGGAUCUUCUUUUGAGCAUUUUUGGCAUCUAUAGAUAAAUAAUGCAAUAGGACUGAAAUAAAUGAUAAAGAUGCAAUAGAACUGAAAUAAUUGACAAAAGACAAAUUUCCUAUGUGUGGGGUUACAAGUCUCACCCUAUAUUGAACUUGCUCUUUUACUAUCUGGACAAGAUCAGUUUUUGCAGGUAGGGUCUUAAAGCUUGUGGUGCUCAAAGUAUAAAUAACAGAUAGGCAGUUGCUAGGUGUUGAAAUGUUAGUGGUUAAAAUUCAAGAAUGUGGUCCUUAUGGAAUUAUCAAAGUGGAUAAUAUUCUGGCAUCUUCUCUCAUUUAUCAGUUAUGUUAGUUGUAAAAAAUUUCACUCAAUGGUGAGAGAAUUCUUUUACACAUAGGGGUGAUUGAGCUCUUAAUUUUUGAAGAAAUAGUUGCCUCAAGCCUUUUGGACUGGUUUGUAGUAUUUAGUUGAACUGGUUGAUAUAAAAACUAAAUUCAAUGUAGGAAUUACCACAAGCAAUGUUGGAACUGCGGAUUAGCACGUCUUUGGAGUUCUGUAAAUGGAUUCCAUCUGUAUUAGGACUAUCACCAGGAGAUGAGACAGUGAAAUUGUAUACUGUUACCCCUAUGCAAUUGUCAAAUUUGAGAUGGCAUUGUUGACUAUUCUGAAUUAUGAUGCCUGUUACAGUAACAUUAAAACUCCCAUAGAAUCGAAGUGCCUGCAUUUUAACACAUUAGUUUAGUAUCAAAUGAACAUUUAAAUGGCUCAGAAUUUGAAGUGGUCCUUACCGUUGGCUUAAUGCUUGGCAUUUUUCCACCACCAAGUGAGCUAUUUAGCUGCCACACAAAUUUUGGAAAGAGUAUUAGAAAGAAACAGAGAUCGGAAACUCUGUUUAAUGGAUAAGAAAUUGUGAGAUAAUUACAGGAAUUGGAGGAUAUCUCAAUGAUGUCUUGUUUAAUGGAAUGAUUAGUUUUAAUUCGUCAUCUAGAGGAUCAUCAUAUGGGGUAUCUUGCCACCAAACUGCACCUCUCCCAUCAAUUAACCCGCUUCCUUUAACUGUAAUCCCAACCAAUUUGGUAAAUUCAAGCCAUUGCAUAAGACCUGAACCCCAAGAUUUGGCAUCUACUGGAGCAAUUAUUGUUCCAUCAAGCUGCAAAACAGAGCAUUUUCAUCACUAAUGCUUCAAAUUUAAUACUACACAAAGUCCCUAAUCUGCAAUUUCAAGACUGACACACAUAAUGGUUCUUGAAUGCUGCCUGAUGUAUUUUAAUUAAUAUCAAAAUUAUGAUUUAAAAUCGUGUAAUUCGCGAGGACAGAGCAUAGAGGUAAUUUUGUAUAUGCAUUUGCAAAAGAGGACAGAAUUAUAGACCUUUUGAUAAGCCUCCAGUUUUAGACUAUAUUAUAUGGACUUGUUCACAGAUAUGUAUGCAAUUAUUUUUUAAAUAAUCUGUAGUGUACUUGAAAUAUGUCAAGGUAGACUAAAGAUCUAAGUAACAUAGGUUUUUGCAUAUAUGCAGAUAAUCUAUAUCUUUACUAACCUGAAAAACAAUGUUGUGCUGACAGUAUGGACCUGAGAAUGAAAUUGGUCCUACAAGGAAUACAUAUUGUGACGGAACGACAAUCGUCGAAGCUUCCACUUUACAAGCAG
rnacentral:lncRNA from 1 species